rnacentral:rRNA from 1 species
UCUUGGUCCAUUUAGAGGAAGUAAAAGUCGUAACAAGGUUUCCGUAGGUGAACCUGCGGAAGGAUCAUUACUAGAGCAAAGGAUAGGCAGCGCCCCACAGAAGCUUGCUUCGUGGCGGGAUACCCUACUUCGGUAGGGUUUAGAGUCGUCGAACCUCUCGGAGAAGUUCGGUCCUGAACUCCACCCUUGAAUAAAUUACCUUUGUUGCUUUGGCGGGCCGCCUCGUGCCAGCGGCUUCGGCUGUUGAGUGCCCGCCAGAGGACCACAACUCUUGUUUUUUGUGAUGUCUGAGUACUAUAUAAUAGUUAAAACUUUCAACAACGGAUCUCUUGGUUCUGGCAUCGAUGAAGAACGCAGCGAAAUGCGAUAAGUAAUGUGAAUUGCAGAAUUCAGUGAAUCAUCGAAUCUUUGAACGCACAUUGCGCCCUCUGGUAUUCCGGGGGGCAUGCCUGUUCGAGCGUCAUUAUAACCACUCAAGCUCUCGCUUGGUAUUGGGGCUCGCGGUUCCGCGGCCCCUAAAAUCAGUGGCGGUGCCUGUCGGCUCUACGCGUAGUAAUACUCCUCGCGAUUGAGUCCGGUAGGUCUACUUGCCAGCAACCCCCAAUUUUUACAGGUUGACCUCGGAUCAGGUAGGGAUACCCGCUGAACUUAAGCAUAUCAAUAAGCGGAGGAA